rnacentral:rRNA from 1 species
UACGUAGGGUGCAAGCGUUGUCCGGAAUUAUUGGGCGUAAAGAGCUCGUAGGCGGUUCGUCACGUCGGCUGUGAAAACCUGGGGCUCAACUCCGGGCCUGCAGCCGAUACGGGCGAACUAGAAUUCGGUAGGGGAGACUGGAAUUCCUGGUGUAGCGGUGAAAUGCGCAGAUAUCAGGAGGAACACCGAUGGCGAAGGCAGGUCUCUGGGCAUUAACUGACGCUGAGGAGCGAAAGCAUGGGGGAGCGAACAGG